GUGAUUGAGUGCUUGCAUUUAACUUGUUGAUAGGUACACAUUCAGGUCACUUGGAUCAAUUCUUAUGAAAUGUGUGAAACAGGCUGCAAGCAACAGGGAAGAGCGAUAAGCAGAGCAACGGUUCGGUCACUUCGCGUUUAUCGCGGUCACGAGCCAGCUAUACGGUGUGUUGCAGCACCUAGAUCAUAGCUCUCGAAUAACACCACCUGCAGCAGCUCUCGAAGUCCCUGUACUAUAUGCACCAUCAACAUUGAGCUUCCAAACAUCAUCUAAUAUAACACUUCAAUAUUUUGACAGUUUAUUGUGUUUGUAUUACUUUUCUUGUGUUACGUUUGAUUCUAUUUGGCGCUCCUACUAUUACAACAUUCAAUUUUGUAACCUGCCGCUUCUUCGCCCUGACCGCUUCUUUAGGUUAGGUGCUGUAACGGUGAUUGAUUCUUUGGCCAUGGAAUAGCGGGCCACCGCUCCCGUUCCAUCGAUGGCUUUGUCCUGAUGCCAGAUUCCAGCUCUUCAGGUCGGAAUAAUAAAACUUUUUGGCCCAUGGUUUGUGCUGUGUUUUGAUGUUGGUUUUUGGCUGUGACACUCGAGUCUCUAGGUCGUUGUGACUUUGAUCUACGGAAUCCUCUCGGAAACUUGGUUUUCUAGGAUCUCAAUGCAGCAAUGGUUUUAGGUCAAGGCUUGCAUCUACUGCCGGAGGUCUUCUUCUUUGCUUCCAUUCAGGGAGAAGACCUGAUUCAAGCAAUGAUGAGAAACUCGCUCAUCUUUUGGGGCUUUAUGUUAUACGGAACUCAGAUUACUUCGUUCUUUCUAUGAACGAAAAUUGAACUCAACAACCCAGUUGUAUACAGAGGUUACCACCAAAUCUGCAGUAAAAAUCUAGCUCGUUUUAUUCUUUUGUAUUGCAUCAAAUUUUCACUUAUUUGUGAACAUCAACAUCUAUUUUUUGAAUCAAAUUUUGGGCAAAA